rnacentral:rRNA from 1 species
CCUACGGGAGGCAGCAGUAAGGAAUAUUGGUCAAUGGAGGGAACUCUGAACCAGCCAUGCCGCGUGAAGGAUGACGGCCCUCUGGGUUGUAAACUUCUUUUGGAUGGGGCGAAAAAACGGGAUUUAUCCUGGACUGACGGUACCAUCAGAAUAAGCACCGGCUAACUCCGUGCCAGCAGCCGCGGUAAUACGGAGGGUGCAAGCGUUAUCCGGAAUCACUGGGUUUAAAGGGUGCGUAGGCGGUUGUAUAAGUCAGGGGUGAAAGGAUGCAGCUUAACUGUAUAAUUGCCUUUGAUACUGUAUGACUUGAAUAAGGUUGAGGUUGGCGGAAUGUGACAUGUAGCGGUGAAAUGCUUAGAUAUGUCAUGGAACACCGAUUGCGAAGGCAGCUGACUGGGCCUUUAUUGACGCUGAGGCACGAAAGCGUGGGUAGCGAACAGGAUUAGAUACCCUGGUAGUCCACGCCCUAAACGAUGUCAACUAGUUGUCGGGCCUAAUUGAGGGUUUGGUAACGUAGCUAACGCGUGAAGUUGACCGCCCUGGGRGACGUACGAUCGCAAGAU